rnacentral:rRNA from 1 species
GUGGCGAGUGGCGAACGGGUGAGUAAUGUAUCGGAACGUGCCCAGUAGCGGGGGAUAACUACGCGAAAGCGUAGCUAAUACCGCAUACGCCCUACGGGGGAAAGCAGGGGAUCUUCGGACCUUGCACUAUUGGAGCGGCCGAUAUCGGAUUAGCUAGUUGGUGGGGUAACGGCCUACCAAGGCGACGAUCCGUAGCUGGUUUGAGAGGACGACCAGCCACACUGGGACUGAGACACGGCCCAGACUCCUACGGGAGGCAGCAGUGGGGAAUUUUGGACAAUGGGGGAAACCCUGAUCCAGCCAUCCCGCGUGUGCGAUGAAGGCCUUCGGGUUGUAAAGCACUUUUGGCAGGAAAGAAACGUCGCGGGCUAAUACCCCGCGAAACUGACGGUACCUGCAGAAUAAGCACCGGCUAACUACGUGCCAGCAGCCGCGGUAAUACGUAGGGUGCAAGCGUUAAUCGGAAUUACUGGGCGUAAAGCGUGCGCAGGCGGUUCGGAAAGAAAGAUGUGAAAUCCCAGAGCUUAACUUUGGAACUGCAUUUUUAACUACCGGGCUAGAGUGUGUCAGAGGGGAGG